rnacentral:rRNA from 1 species
GAUGAACGCUGGCGGCGUGCCUAAUACAUGCAAGUCGAGCGAACGGACGAGAAGCUUGCUUCUCUGAUGUUAGCGGCGGACGGGUGAGUAACACGUGGAUAACCUACCUAUAAGACUGGGAUAACUUCGGGAAACCGGAGCUAAUACCGGAUAAUAUUUUGAACCUCAUGGUUCAAAAGUAAAAGACGGUCUUGCUGUCACUUAUAGAUGGAUCUGCGCUGCAUUUGCUAGUUGGUAAGGUAACGGCUUACCAAGGCAACGAUGCGUAGCGGACCUGAGAGGACGAGCAGCAAAACUGGGACUGAGACACGGCGAAGAAUGCUAGGGGAGGGAGAAGUGGGGAAUGUUGGACAAUGGGUGCAACACUGAUCCAGAAAUGCCGCGUGUGUGAAGAAGGCCUACGGGUUGUAAAGCACUUUUGUACGGAAAGAAAUAGAAAGUACUAAUAUGAGGAGUGGAUGACGGUACCGGAAGAAAAAGGAACGGCUAACUACGUG